UACAGAGGGGGCAAGCGUUGUUCGGAAUUACUGGGCGUAAAGGGCGCGUAGGCGGCCCGCUAAGUCGAACGUGAAAUCCCCGGGCUCAACCCGGGAACUGCGUCCGAUACUGGUGGGCUUGAAUCCGGGAGAGGGAUGCGGAAUUCCAGGUGUAGCGGUGAAAUUCGUAGAUAUUAGGAAGAACACCAGUGGCGAAGGCGGCUCACUGGCCCGGUACUGACGCUGAGGCGCGAAAGCGUGGGGAGCAAACAGG
rnacentral:rRNA from 1 species